UACGUAGGGCGCAAGCGUUAUCCGGAAUUAUUGGGCGUAAAGAGCUCGUAGGCGGUUUGUCGCGUCUGCCGUGAAAGUCCGGGGCUCAACCCCGGAUCUGCGGUGGGUACGGGCAGACUAGAGUGAUGUAGGGGAGACUGGAAUUCCUGGUGUAGCGGUGAAAUGCGCAGAUAUCAGGAGGAACACCCGUGGCGAAGGCGGCUCUCUGGAACGCAACUGACGCUGAGACGCGAAAGCGUGGGGAGCAAACAGG
rnacentral:rRNA from 1 species